GUAAUGGUUUCGACGGGGAUCAUGCAGCUGGAGAAGCGAGUCGUACGGCGAUGCGUCAAAUGGCCAAAUUAAAAUUAAACGCUAACGAUAAUUUAGCAUACGCUGCCUAGUUGCAGCAGUCGGCUCUAGAGCACUCACACUUUAGAAUCCCGGCUUCGACUAUGUGAGAAACGACACUUGCAAAGCUUUGAGCAUGUGGGCGUAUCAUGAAGCUACUAAAAUCACCAGGGUGUUUAUCCCCGGGUGACAGAGGGAAUGUCAAAGGAUAAACUACGCUCGUAGAAGGACAGGGAAUUGGUUUUCGGACACGGGUUCGACUCCCGUCUAGUCCAC
rnacentral:tmRNA from 1 species